rfam:Salmo salar isolate Sally breed double haploid chromosome ssa09, whole genome shotgun sequence.
CACACGCAUGAUUGUAAUUCGCUUUAGAUAAAAGUGUCUGCUAAAUGGCAUAUA